UUUCCUCUGACUCAGGAUUUCAAGUGUUUCCCACCCCCACAGGCCCGCAGCGGGGGUGGGACCCACAGAGUCACGCCCUGGAACGGUGUGGAGGGCUCGGAGAAGGGCUCCGGGAGCCGGGCCGGCUGAAGGCCUCAGCGAUAGCAAACCUGCACAUCAGGAGCUCCUAUUUCCGUUUCACCCGCCAGAGGAGGCCAUGAAGGUCUGGGGAAGGAGUGUGUCCAGAGUGCGCCUUCCUUCCCUGGAAGGAGACUGGAGGAUGGAAGAGCCAGAACAGAGGAGGAAAAAAGCCCUCUUAAAGAAGCCUGAACCUUGAAUGGUUCAGGGAUUUGUAUGAAAGACUACAAAGUAUCACUUUAGUUACAACCAGCCCCUCAAAGAUAUUGAGA